CAAUAGCGUAUAUUAAAGUUGUUGCAGUUAAAAAGCUCGUAGUUGGAUUUCUGGUGGGAGCGAUCGGUCUGGCGCUUAGCGCGAGUACUUGCAUCGUCUCCGGCCAUCCUUGGGGAAAGUCUGUCUGGCAUUAAGUUGUCGGGCAGAGGAUCCUCAUCGUUUACUGUGAAAAAAUUAGAGUGUUCAAAGCAGGCUUAUGCCGUUGAAUAUAUUAGCAUGGAAUAAUAAGAUAGGACUUUGGUACUAUUUUGUUGGUUUGCGCACCAAAGUAAUGAUUAAUAGGGACAGUUGGGGGUAUUCGUAUUCCGCUGUCAGAGGUGAAAUUCUUGGAUUUACGGAAGACGAACUACUGCGAAAGCAUUUACCAAGGAUGUUUUCAUUAA
rnacentral:rRNA from 1 species